UGUCGGGUAAGUUCCGACCUGCACGAAUGGCGUAAUGAUGGCCAGGCUGUCUCCACCCGAGACUCAGUGAAAUUGAACUCGCUGUGAAGAUGCAGUGUACCCGCGGCAAGACGGAAAGACCCCGUGAACCUUUACUAUAGCUUGACACUGAAUAUUGAGCCUUGAUGUGUAGGAUAGGUGGGAGGCAUCGAAGCGUGGACGCCAGUCUGCGUGGAGCCAACCUUGAAAUACCACCCUUUAAUGUUUGAUGUUCUAACUCGGCCCCAUAAUCUGGGGUGAGGACAGUGUCUGGUGGGUAGUUUGACUGGGGCGGUCU
rnacentral:rRNA from 1 species